GCGCUAUGGAGCCAUUUUGCAUUUUCUUGUUUGGGCGACUUCGGAAUAUCAAAUUUUUCACCAGGCCCGGUCGUCCUGCCAAAUUUCAUGAGUUUUCGCCAGUGGGAAGUGGGCCAUUUUCCAGUUCAAAGGGGAGGAAAAAUAAUAACUAGGGCCCCGUUGGGGCACUGGCGGGCCCGAGCCGUGUCGCGCCCCCUCCCCAACGCGAUCGCCUCCCCGUCCCAUUCUCUUCCUCUGGCCAUCGCCCUCUCUGGUAACGCCCAUCACUACAAAGACCCUUAUCCUUCAUCGGCGUUUGUGGUUCUUCCCGCCAGUGUGUGUCCAACGCUUUUGCGCGUUGAAAGGUUAGGGUCUCCACUAAAGGUCAGAGGUCAAAUAACAUUUGUAUCUCAAACUGUGACGUCACAGUCAGGGUCCAAAGAUGGUGUGCGCAACUGUCUUUGGUCAUUUCCCAUUAUAAUGAAUGGGAGGCACAGUCUCUACCAAAACGCUCGCUGCAGAAAAACUACGUGUCCUUUUUGAAAAAAGUCUGGACCAUGAGUGAGGGCACAAACACAGCUAGUAUAUAUCCAAAUGGCAAGUUGCUCCUCCUUUCGGUUUUGCCGAGAGAGCGAUGCGUUUGAGCCAUUGAGCGAUGGGCAGGAAAAACUUGACUUUUUCUCCUGCCAUGGGGGGCGCUCUUUUGGGGAGAAAAAAUUCCUUCACAAAUGUGUUGAUGGCUGGACAUUGCAUCAUCCUAGAAAACUUGGAGGCCAGUGAGGACAAAAAUAAAAAGUUAUAAGACUUUUAAAAAUGUGGAUAUUUGGGUCCUCUUUGGCGCCCCCUAGAACGUAAACUGUGGGGUGCAGCGUCAUGAUUUGUACAACUUUGAAUGGCCAUGGGGUGUAGAUUGACCUGAGCAAAUUUGAAGCCGAUGGGACAAAAGAUUUAGGAGGAGUUAGCCACAUUCCAAUGUGUGCGAAUCGGCAAAAAAUGCGAAAUAGCCCUUUAACCGUACAUUGAACAGAUACGCUCGCAUUGACUUUUUCGUAGAUCUUAUUGAGAUACAUGUGUGUGUCAAAUUUUGUGUCAUUUUGACAAAGCGUAAAGGCGUGACAGUCAACAAUGUGUAUUUUCGCCUUAGGAUACAAGAAAAAAUGGACUUUUUUCUCCUGCCAUGGGGGGGGGGGGCGCUCUUUUGGCGAGUAAAAAUUCCUUCACAAAUGUGUUGAUGGCUGGACAUUGCAUCAUCCUAGAGAACUUGGAGGCCAGUGAGGACAAAAAUAAAAAGUUAUAAGACUUUUAAGACUGUGGAUUUUUGGGUUAUCUUUGGCGCCCCCUAGAACGUAAACCGUGGGGUGCAGCGUCAUGAUUUGUACAACUUUUAAUGGCCAUGGGGUGUAGAUUGGCCUGAGCAAAUGUGGUGCCUUUGAAACGAAAGCCUUCGGAGGAGUUAGCCACAUUCCAAUGUGUGCGGAUCGGCAAAAAAUGCGAAAUAGCCCUUUAACCGUACAUUUGACAGAUACGCCCGCACUGACUUUUUUGUAGAUCUUAUUGAGAUACAUGUGUGUGUCAAUUUUUGUGUCAUUUUGCCAAAGCGUACAGGUAUUACACUCAACAAUGUGUAUUUUCACCUUAGGGGACAAGAAAAAAUUGACUUUUUUCUCCUGCCAUGGGGGGGCGCUCUUUUGGGGAGUAAAAAUUCCUUCACAAAUGUGUUGAUGGCUGGACAUUGCAUCAUCCUAGAAAACUUGGAGGCCAGUGAGGGCAAAAAUAAAAAGUUAUAAGACUUUUAAAUAUGUGGAUCUUAGGGUUAUCUUUGGCGCCCCCUAGAACCUAAACCGUGGGGUGCAGCGUCAUGAUUUGAAUAACUUUUAAUGGCCAUGGGGUGUAGAUUGGCCUGAGCAAAUGUGGUGCCGGUGGAACGAAAGCCUUCGGAGGAGUUAGCGAAAUUCCAAUGUGUGCGGAUCGGCAAAAAAUGCGAAAUAACCCUUUAACCGUACAUUUGACAGAUACGCCCGCACUGACUUUUUUGUAGAUCUUAUUGAGAUACAUGUGUGUGUCAAUUUUUGUGUCAAAUGACAAAGCGUACAGGCGUGACAGUCAAUAGUGUGAAUUUUCACCUUAGGGGGCGCUAUGGAGCCAUUUUGCAUUUUAUUGUUUGGGCGACUUCAGAAUAUCGAAUUUUUCACCAGGCCCGGUCGUCCUGCCAAAUUUCAUGAGUUUUCGCCAGUGGGAAGUGGGCCAUUUUCCAGUUCAAAGGGGAGAAAAAAAGAAAGAAAGAAAGAAAAAGAAAGAACUAGGGCCCCGUUGGGGCACUGGCGGGCCCGAGCCGUGUCGCGCCCCCUCCCCAACGCGAUCGCCCUCCCCGUCCCAUUCUCUUCCUCUGGCCAUCGCCCUCUCUGGUAACGCCCAUCACUACAAAGACCCUUAUCCUUCAUCGGCGUUUGUGGUUCUUCCCGCCAGUGUGUGUCCAACGCUUUUGCGCGUUGAAAGGUUAGGGUCUCCACUAAAGGUCAGAGGUCAAAUAACAUUUGUAUCUCAAACUGUGACGUCACAGUCAGGGUCCAAAGAUGGUGUGCGCAACUGUCUUUGGUCAUUUCCCAUUAUAAUGAAUGGGAGGCACAGUCUCUACCAAAACGCUCGCUGCAGAAAAACUACGUGUCCUUUUUGAAAAAAGUCUGGACCAUGAGUGAGGGCACAAACACAGCUAGUAUAUAUCCAAAUGGCAAGUUGCUCCUCCUUUCGGUUUUGCCGAGAGAGCGAUGCGUUUGAGCCAUUGAGCGAUGGGCAGGAAAAACUUGACUUUUUCUCCUGCCAUGGGGGGGCGCUCUUUUGGGGAGAAAAAAUUCCUUCACAAAUGUGUUGAUGGCUGGACAUUGCAUCAUCCUAGAAAACUUGGAGGCCAGUGAGGACAAAAAUAAAAAGUUAUAAGACUUUUAAAAAUGUGGAUAUUUGGGUCCUCUUUGGCGCCCCCUAGAACGUAAACUGUGGGGUGCAGCGUCAUGAUUUGUACAACUUUGAAUGGCCAUGGGGUGUAGAUUGACCUGAGCAAAUUUGAAGCCGAUGGGACAAAAGAUUUAGGAGGAGUUAGCCACAUUCCAAUGUGUGCGAAUCCGCAAAAAAUGCGAAAUAGCCCUUUAACCGUACAUUGAACAGAUACGCUCGCAUUGACUUUUUCGUAGAUCUUAUUGAGAUACAUGUGUGUGUCAAAUUUUGUGUCAUUUUGACAAAGCGUAAAGGCGUGACAGUCAACAAUGUGUAUUUUCGCCUUAGGAUACAAGAAAAAAUGGACUUUUUUCUCCUGCCAUGGGGGGGGCUCUUUUGGCGAGUAAAAAUUCCUUCACAAAUGUGUUGAUGGCUGGACAUUGCAUCAUCCUAGAGAACUUGGAGGCCAGUGAGGACAAAAAUAAAAAGUUAUAAGACUUUUAAGACUGUGGAUUUUUGGGUUAUCUUUGGCGCCCCCUAGAACGUAAACCGUGGGGUGCAGCGUCAUGAUUUGUACAACUUUUAAUGGCCAUGGGGUGUAGAUUGGCCUGAGCAAAUGUGGUGCCUUUGAAACGAAAGCCUUCGGAGGAGUUAGCGAAAUUCCAAUGUGUGCGGAUCGGCAAAAAAUGCGAAAUAGCCCUUUAACCGUACAUUUGACAGAUACGCCCGCACUGACUUUUUUGUAGAUCUUAUUGAGAUACAUGUGUGUGUCAAUUUUUGUGUCAAUAUGACAAAGCUUAAAGGCGUGACAGUCAAUAGUGUGAAUUUUCGCCUUAGGAGACAAGAAAAAAUUGACUUUUUUCUCCUGCCAUGGGGGGGCGCUCUUUUGGCGAGUAAAAAUUCCUUCACAAAUGUGUUGAUGGCUGGACAUUGCAUCAUCCUAGAGAACUUGGAGGCCAGUGAGGACAAAAAUAAAAAGUUAUAAGACUUUUAAGACUGUGGAUUUUUGGGUUAUCUUUGGCGCCCCCUAGAACGUAAACCGUGGGGUGCAGCGUCAUGAUUUGUACAACUUUUAAUGGCCAUGGGGUGUAGAUUGGCCUGAGCAAAUGUGGUGCCGGUGGAACGAAAGCCUUCGGAGGAGUUAGCGAAAUUCCAAUGUGUGCGGAUCGGCAAAAAAUGCAAAAUAACCCUUUAACCGUACAUUUGACAGAUACGCCCGCACUGACUUUUUUGUAGAUCUUAUUGAGAUACAUGUGUGUGUCAAUUUUUGUGUCAAUAUGACAAAGCGUAAAGGCGUGACAGUCAAUAGUGUGAAUUUUCACCUUAGGGGGCGCUAUGGAGCCAUUUUGCAUUUUAUUGUUUGGGCGACUUCAGAAUAUCGAAUUUUUCACCAGGCCCAUUCGUCCUGCCAAAUUUCAUGAGUUUUCGCCAGUGGGAAGUGGGCCAUUUUCCCCUUCAAAGGGGAGGAAAAAUAAGAAGAAAGAAAGAAAGAAAGAAAGAACUAGGGCCCCGUUGGGGCACUGGCGGGCCCGAGCCGUGUCGCACCCCCCCCCCCCCCCAACGCGCUGCCUCCCCGUCCCAUUUGUGUCCUCUGGCCAUCGCCCUCUCUGGUGACGCCCAUCACUGCAAAGACCCUUUUCCUUCAUCGGCGUUUGCUGUUCUUCCUGCCAGUGCGUGUUGCUUUCACUUACACUUGCCACAGCCAGCCUCGUGAGUGCCUAGCCUAUUGGAUAUCACUGUCACCUACACAGGACAGUCAUACUUUGUUUUUUAAUUUCACAUUAAUUUCCUUAUUGUAUAAACGACUGGAAAAAACUUGAGCCCCUGCCCCUGUAUUAUCAUGUGCACGUCCCUGUUCUAGCUCCAAGGUGAAUCUUCACUGCUCAUGUUCUCCUCAGAAGCAGUCACCUCACUCCCCUCAGGUUACUGUACACAUGCACCAACUGCCUGCUUCAGGUUUGGAUGGAGCUUCAUGGUUGUCUUUUGGAGAAAUGAGCAGUCAAGUUGUGUUUGAAAUUUGAUUUUUUUCAGGGGCAAAAGGAAGCCUCUGCAUUCUUGUCAAAUAUGUAAAUAGCAUGUAUUUGCAGGUGCUAAAAAACAGACUCUGAGUGUGUGUGUGUGUGUGUGUGUGUGUGCGUGUGUGUGUGUGUGUCUGUGUGUGUGUGUGUGUGUGUAUCCUGCAGUACUCUGAGAAGAAUAAUAAGCAUAUUUCUGAGGUGAAUUUUGAAGAUUCAUCUGAGAGUUAGGUUUGAUUCGAUUCGAUUGACGCUCCCCAGCGUUCAAGUCACAUGACAUAUUUAACCGGAUGUAGCUGCAAGACGGAGCCUCGUUAAUUCUCUGUUUCAACUUAUCUCAAAAGUGAGGACCUCAACCUAUAUACCAGUUUUUAAAUUGUGUUGAUAGGCCAAAUAAAACCAGAGUUAUGAUAAAUUAUGUCCGUGAUACUUUUUUUCUGCUUAUUUUGAUCACGUUCGGCGCUCGAUCGCGCUGUAUGAGACAGGAAAACAUAGCAUGCACACAUUAGCGACAGGUCUUACAGGCGGAAAAGGCUUGCCUAAAGAAAAAAAAAACACACCACAACAUCUCUCCUAUUGGUGGAAAACUUCACCACAACAACCAAUCCAAAAUUAUAUGGUGACUGAUUGACAAGGGGCGGGCGCUUACGUUCUUCCUGCAACAUGAGAAGGGAGGGAGGGACUCUCAGCAGGGAUGCAGUCUGGGACACGUAGUUGCAAACCUAGCGACUUUGUUGUUAGAUUCAAUUACUUUUCAGACCCCCUAACGACUUUAGAAAGAAAGGGACUUUUAUCGACUUCUUCUGGAGUUUAGAGACUCUGACAUGAAGCAGGCUUUCCUUACUGAGGAGUUAGCAACGCUGCUAAGGGUGCAGAGCCACACAUGCGCUCCGAGCUCUGCAUGGGAGACUGAAGCUGACAGAGCUGCAGCAGUUAGCAGGUUUCACCCUCAGAGACCACCAGGGGUUCAUGUUGAGGCAUUUUCAGUUUUUGUUUUUUUUGCCAUAGACACUGUCAGCACAAUCUGCAGUUACACUAACAAAAAUGCUGCAAAAAACAAAGAAUUAUGGAAAAAUUACACAUGGACUGACAUAGAGGAGGAUCUACACAAGUUUUUUACAUCAUGUUUUACAUCAUGCAUCAUUUACAUCAUGUUUUUUUGUAGUGGCAUAAAUAAAAAGUGACAUUUGUGAGACUAUACAGUGUUUUGUAAAUAAUUUUACAAAGAACGCCUGGGCCAUUGCCUGCAUUUUGAUGUAAAUAGAGGUAAAUUACUAUGUUCUUUGUUAAAAAUUUGCAUAUGUUUUGAAGUUUACAAUUUUUAUUUGAAGUUUAAGUUUUAAAAACAGUUCAUCACACAUAUUUGUGGUUUAAUUUCACAUUAAUUUCCAUAUUGUAUAAAUGACUGGAAAAAACUUGAGCCCCUGCCCCUGUAUAAUCAUGUGCACGUCCCUGUUCUAGCUCCAAGGUGAAUCGUCACUGCUCAUGUUCUCCUCAGAAAUAGUCACCUCACUCCCCUCAGGUUACUGUACACAUGCACCAACUAUCUGCUUCAGGUUUGGAUGGAGCUUCAUGGUUGUCUUUUGGAGAAAUGAACAGUCAAGUUGUGUUUGAAAUCUGAUUUUUUUCAGGGGCAAAAGGAAGCCUCUGCAUUCUUGUCAAAUAUGUAAACAGCAUGUUUUUGCAGGUGCUAAAAAACAGACUCUGAGUGUGUGUGUGUGUGUGUGUGUGUGUGUGUGUAUAUGUGUGUGUAUCCUGCAGUACUCUGUACUCCUGCAGUGGCCAAAAAGACUUUUAAGAAUGUGGAUUUUUGGGUCAUCUUUGGCGCCCCCUAGAACUGCAGUACUCUGUACUCCUGCAGUGUCCAAAAUGACUUUUAAGAAUGUGGAUUUUUGGGUCAUCUUUGGCGCCCCCUAGAACGUAAACCGUGGGGUGCAGCGUCAUGAUUUUUACAACUUUGAAUGGCCAUGGGGUGUAGAUUGCCCUGAGCAAAUUUGGUAUCGGUGGGACGAAAGCCUUGGGAGGAGAUAGCCACAUUCCAAUGUGUGCGAAUCGGCAAAAAAUGCGAAAUAGCCCUUUAACCGUACAUUAUACAGAUACGCGCUUUUUGACUUUUUCGUAGAUCUUAUUGAGAUACACGUGUGUGUCAAAUUUUGUGUCAAUAUGACAAAGCGUUCAGGCGUGACACUCAACAAUGUGUAUUUUCAUGUAAGGGGACAAGAAAAAAUUGACUUUUUUCUCCUGCCAUGGGGGGGGCGCUCUUUUGGGGAGUAAAAAUUCCUUCACAAAUGUGUUGAUGGCUGGACAUUGCAUCAUCCUAGAAAACUUGGAGGGCAGUGAGGACAAAAAUAAAAAGUUAUAAGACUUUUAAGAAUGUGGAUUUUGGGUUAUCUUUGGCGCCCCCUAGAACGUAAACCGUGGGGUGCAGCGUCAUGAUUUGUACAACUUUUAAUGGCCAUGGGGGGUAGAUUGGCCAGCGCAAAUGUGGUGCCGGUCGAACGAAAGCCUUCGGAGGAGUUAGCGAAAUUCCAAUGUGUGCAGAUCUGCAAAAAAUGCAAAAUAACCCAUUAACCGUACAUUUGACAGAUACGCCCGCACUGACUUUUUUGUAGAUCUUAUUGAGAUACAUGUGUGUGUCAAUUUUUGUGUCAAUAUGACAAAGCGUACAGCCGUCAUGUGAAUUUUCACCUUAGGGGGCGCUAUGGAGCCAUUUUGCAUUUUAUUGUUUGGGCGACUUCAGAAUAUCGAAUUUUUCACCAGGCCCGGUCGUCCUGCCAAAUUUCCUGAGUUUUCGCCAGUGGGAAGUGGGCCAUUUUCCAGUUUAAAGCGGAGGAAAAAUAAUAACGAAAGAAGGAAACAUGCAGGAACAAGAGGGCUCUCGCAGCUGCUUAGCAGCUACGCUCGGGCCCUAAAGAAAGAAGAAAGAAAAACCCAUACAGGAACAAUAGGGCUCUCGCAGCUGCUUAGCAGCUACGCUCGGGCCCUAAUAACGAAAGAAGAAUCCAUCAGGAACAAGAGGGCUCUCGCAGCUGCUUAGCAGCUACGCUCGGGCCCUAAAUAUAUUUUUGCAGUGUUAAGGCUUCCUUAAGGUAAUACCCGGGUAUUAGGUCACGGGGCUAGGGUAAGGUUUAAGGUUUUUUAUCGUGAGGGUUAAAAUCACUGUCCAAUAUUUUUUAGGAAUAUGUUUAAGACCUUUUGGAGUUAGUAAGACCAAAAAAAUGUAGAAUGAAAAAAAACAAUUUGGGGUUGUAGGGCUUCCUUAAGGUAAUACCCGGGUAUUAGGUUAUGGGGCUAGGGUAAGGUUAAAGGUUUUUGGCGUUAGGGUUAAAAUCACUGUCCAAAACCUUUGUAGGAACAUGUUUCAGACCUUUUGGAGUUAGUUAGACCAAAAAAAACGAAAAAUAAAAAAGAUACUUUGGGGCAUGUAGGGCUUCCUUUAGGUAAUACCCGGAUAUUAGGUUACACGGCUAGGUAAAGUUUAAAGGUUUUUGGCGUUAGGGUUAAAAUCACUGUCCAAAACCUUUGUAGGAUCUCUUUUCCAACCUUUUUGCGUUAGUUUGACAAAAAAAAAAAAAAAAAACGAAAAAUGAAAUAAAAAUUUUUUGGGGUGUGGGUAAGAGAUACAGUGAUAGCCCCCGCAUUCGUCAGUUGACUUGGCGGUUUGGGGUAGGCUGAUCAAGGGCUUGCACUGGCCGGCGCAUGUCGACCUGUCACAUGUUCCCAGUCGAGUCUCUGAGCUCAAUCUGUGUGUAAAAAUUAUGUGUUGGUAGGAAGUUUAAUGACUCAGCUCAAUUGGUAUGCUAUGCUGUCUAUCUUUUAGACUAUGUGUUUGUAGAGCAAUUAUUUUUGGAGGUUCAGUUAGGGAUUAGAGUUGGUAUGGUUAAGUGUGAAAAUAAUAAUAACUAGGGCCCCGGUGGGGCACUGUCGGGCCCGAGCAGCGUCGCGCCGCCCCCAGCGCGACCGCCUCCCCCUCCCGAUCGCGUCACACUCAAGGUCCAAAGAUGGUGUGCGCACUUGUCUGUGGUCAUUUCCCAUUAUAAUGAAUGGGAGACGCAGUUUCUACCAAAACACUCGCUGCAGACAAACUACAUGUCCUAUUUGAAAACAGUCUGGACCAUGAGUGAGGGCACAAACACAGCUAGGAUAUAUCCAAAUGGCAAGUUGCUCCUCGUUACGGUGUUGCCGGGAGAGCGAUGCGAUUGAGCCAUUGAGCGAUGGGCAGGAAAAACUUGACUUUUCCUCCUGCCUUGGGGGGGGGGGGAUUCUUUUAAGAAUGUGGAUAUUUGGGUCAUCUUUGGCGCCCCUUAGAACGUAAACCGUGGGGUGCAGCGUCAUGAUUUUUACAACUUUGAAUGGCCAUGGGAUGUAGAUCUGCUUGAGCAAAUUUGGUGUCGGUGGGACGAAAGCCUUAGGAGGAGUUAGCGAAAUUCCAAUGUGUGCGGAUCGGGAAAAAAUGCGAAAUAGCCCUUUGACUGUACAUUUUACAGAUGCGUGCACAUUGACUUUUUCGUAGAUCUUAUUGAGAUACACGUGUGUGUCAAAUUUUGUGUCAUUUCGACAAAGCGUAUAGGAGUGACACUCAACAAUGUGUUUUUUCACCUUAGGGGACAAGAAAAAAUGGACUUUUUUCUCCUGCCAUGGGGGGGGGGCGCUCUUUUCGAGAGUAAAAAUUCCUUUACAAAUGUGUUGAUGGCUGGACAUUGCAUCAUCCUAGAAAACUUGGAGGCCAGUGAGGACAAAAAUAAAAAGUUAUAAGACUAUUAAGAAUGUGGAUUUUAGGGUUAUGUUUGGCGCCCCCUAGAACCUAAACCGUGGAGUGCAGCAUCAUGAUUUGUACAACUUUGAAUGGCCAUGGGGUGUAGAUUGGCCUGAGCAAAUUUGGUGGCGGUGGAACGAAAGCCUUCGGAGGAGUUAGCGAAAUUCCAAUGUGUGCGGAUCGGGAAAAAAUGCGAAGUAACCCUUUAACCGUACAUUUUACAGAUACGUGCCCAUUGACUUUUUCGUAGAUGUUAUUGAGAUACACGUGAUUGUCAAAUUUUGGGUCAAUAUGACAAAGCGUAUAGGCGUGACACUCAACAAUGUGUAUUUUCACCUUAGGGGACAAGAAAAAAUUGACUUUUUUCUCCUGCCAUGGGGGGCGCUCUUUUGGGGAGUAAAAAUUCCUUCACAAAUGUGUUGUUGGCUGGACAUUGCAUCAUCCUAGAAAACUUGGAGGCCAUUGAGGACAAAAAUACAAAGUUAUAAGACUUUUAAGACUGUGGAUUUUUGGGUUAUCUUUGGCGCCCCCUAGAACGUAAACCGUGGGGUGCAGCGUCAUGAUUUGUACAACUUUUAAUGGCCAUGGGGUGUAGAUUGGCCUGAGCAAAUGUGGUGCCGGUGGAACGAAUGCCUUCGGAGGAGUUAGAGAAAUUCCAAUGUGUGCAGAUCUGCAAAAAAUGCGAAAUAACCCUCUAACCGUACAUUUCACAGAUGCGCCCGCACUGACUUUUUCGUAGACCGUAUUGCGAUACACGUGUGUGUCAAUUUUUGUUUCAACAUGACAAAGCGUACAGGCGUGACAGUCAAUAGUGUGAAUUUUCACCUUAGGGGGCGCUAUGGAGCCAUUUUGCAUUUUAUUGUUUGGGCGACUUCAGAAUAUCGAAUUUUUCACCAGGCCCGGUCGUCCUGCCAAAUUUCAUGAGUUUUCGCCAGUGGGAAGUGGGCCAUUUUCCCCUUCAAAGGGGAGGAAAAAUAAGAAGAAAGAAAGAAAGAACUAGGGCCCCGUUGGGGCACUGGCGGGCCCGAGCCGUGUCACGCCGCCCCCAGCGCGACCGCCUCCCCCACCCGAUCGCGUCACACUCAAGGUCCAAAGAUGGUGUGCGCACUUGUUUGUGGUCAUUUACCAUUAUAAUGAACGGGAGGCGCAGUUUCUACCAAAACGCUCGCUGCAGAAAAACUCCAUGUCCUAUUUGAAAAAAGUCUGGACCAUGAGUGAGGGCACAAACACAGCUAAGAUAUAUCCAAAUGGCAAGUUGCUCCUCCUUUCGCUUUUGCCGAGAGAGCAGUGCGUUUGAGCCAUUGAAUGAUGAACAGGAAAAACUUGACUUUAUUCUCCUGCCAUGGGGGGGCGCUCUUUUAAAGAGAAAAAACUCCUUCACAAAUGUGUUGAUGGCUGGACAUUGCAUCAUCCUAGAAAACAUGGAGGCCAGUGAGGACAAAAAUAAAAAGUUAUAAGACUUUUAAAUAUGUGGAUUUUAGGGUUAUAUUUGGCGCCCCCUAGAACCUAAACCGUGGGGUGCAGCGUCAUGAUUUGAAUAACUUUUAAUGGCCAUGGGGUGUAGAUUGGCCUGAGCAAAUGUGGUGCCGGUGGAACGAAAGCCUUCGGAGGAAUUAGCGAAAUUCCAAUGUGUGCGAAUCUGCAAAAAAUGCGAAAUAACCCUUUAACUGUACAUUUUACAGAUACGUGGCCAUUGACUUUUUCGAAGAUCUUAUUGAAAUACACGUGUAUGUAAAAUUUUGUGUCAAUACGACAAAACAUACAGGCGUAGCACUCAACAAUGUGUAUUUUCACCUUAGUGGACAAGAAAAAAUUGACUUUUUUCUCCUGCCAUGGGGGGGCGCUCUUUUGGGGAGUAAAAAUUCCUUCACAAAUGUGUUGAUGGCUGGACAUUGCAUCAUCCUAGAAAACUUGGAGGCCAGUGGGGACAAAAAUAAAAAGUUAUAAGACUUUUAAAUAUGUGGAUUUUAGGGUUAUCUUUGGCGCCCCCUAGAACCUAAACCGUGGGGUGCAGCGUCAUGAU
rnacentral:lncRNA from 1 species